rnacentral:lncRNA from 1 species
CAUUGUGUAUAUACAUACAACAACUGUUUGACGAACCCAACGAAGGAAGGAGAGGGACUCAUUCGAAUCAUACCAAUGUCUGUUUCUUUUUUGUUUGUUUGUUGUUGUUGUUGUCUUUGAUUCAUGUAAUGAACCUUUUGUAAUAAAAGGUGGUUUCUUUUUUUUGGGUUUCAUGUAACUUGUGCUGGAGAAGACCAGCAGACUUUUUUUCAUAAAAUAAAUUACUCGGAUUAUGCAAUUUUUCUUAACAUUCCAUGAAUGUGCUGGUCGUUUUGCAAGAAACAGUACUAAGCUAGUUCAGCUUAUAAUGCAGAGUACAAAAAGACAGAGAUGGUCAAGAGAUGCACGUUUUAUAUCUUAGAACAUGUAAUGACUCUGCUACUGAAUUACUUGGUGGAAUAAACCAUCAUGAGGUGCAAAGUGAUUCAAACUAUAUACGCUUUGCUUUAAGCUAAGUACAAGACAAUGACAUAGUUUGUGUAAACAAUAAGACAUGAUCAACCUUUAGUGCAGAAACAUUAUCAGACAAAACUAAAAAUUCAGUGUGGAGGAGGCAAGAGUUGAUGUAGGUUCUGAGGAGACCUAUUCUGACUCUGACUCGCCCCUCUACGCACAAAAGGAUGUUGCAAAAGCUGAACAGCGGUCUGCCUCCUCGCCGGUUCUCUCUGCAAACAACACGAAACAAAGUGUCUAAACUCCGGAGACGCCGUGGCAGGAGCUUCAGGCGGCUUAGACAUACAAAUGGCACACAUAAGACUAGCCCAAUCACCUAGCCUAUUCACAUUAAAAGGAAACCUCCCCAAGAAAAACUCAAGAACACUAACACCGAAGCUCCAAAUAUCACCAGCACGACCAUCAUACAUCCCCUGAUUCAAGUCCGUGUUGAUCCUCUCAGGACUCAUGUAAGCAAUAGUCCCAACAGAGGACUUACACGGAGACAGGGUCUGAGCCAAGACCCUACUCACUCCAAAAUCAGCAAUCUUGACGUUAUUGUCCGAGUUUAUAAGUAGAUUCGAUGGCUUUAUGUCUCUAUGGACUAUAUGACGGCCGUGAAGAUAAGCCAAACGAGCGUCGCUCAGCAAGUCGACGGCGAUAAUCCGAAUCUUUACUUCCACAGCGAUGACGUCAUACUCUGUGUCUUGCCCUUGUUCCAUAUCUACGCUUUGAACUCGAUCAUGCUGUGUGGGCUUAGAGUUGGUGCCUCCAUCUUGAUCAUGCCCAAGUUCGAGAUUAAUCUGCUCUUGGAGCUGAUACAGAGGUGUAAAGUGACGGUUGCUCCGAUGGUUCCGCCGAUUGUUUUGGCGAUGGCGAAGUCGCCGGAGACGGAGAAGUAUGACUUGAGCUCGAUUAGGGUUGUGAAGUCUGGUGCUGCUCCGCUUGGUAAGGAGCUUGAAGAUGCCGUAAGUGCCAAGUUUCCUAACGCCAAACUCGGUCAGGUGUGUGUUUGUGUCUCGAUUUGUUUCUUUAUUCGGAAAUACAGAAUCGUAACAUAUUAGAAAAUCCAAAUUAAAAUAUGGAAUUGAAUCACAUUACCAAAAAAAACAUUAUGGAAUAGUAUAUAUUUAGAUUAGCUAAAAAAAUGAUUAAAUUUAUUUAUUUUUUCAAAAAAAAAUGAUUAAAUUUUACUAUAUUUAAGUAAAUGCUGGCUAUGAACAGUGAAGUAUUUUAGCAACAAAAAAAACGUAGAUUUCUUUGCUUAGUAAUUUCAUGGUUUUUAAGUAUGAAUAUUCAUCUUUAAUCUACACAAGAAACAAGUAUUAUCAAAUGAUUUAAUUAUUUAGAUUACUUAUUAGAUGAUAUUUGCUAUUGACAUAAUCAAGAAAAAUGUAUGAAAAGAGUUACAAACUUGUAACAAUUAAAACUUGAUGUAACCCAAACAACAUAAAUUCAGAUUUUAUAUUUUAUUAUUUUGGUCAUUAGUUUUGUAAAGUGGUACAUGUAAAAUCAAAUGAUCAAUAAUAAUCUCGAUUAUUUAUGCAUUUUAAAAAUGUUUUAAAUGUAUUUUUAAAACUGUUGAUGUGAUUAGGGAUACGGAAUGACGGAAGCAGGUCCGGUGCUAGCAAUGUCGUUAGGGUUCGCGAAAGAGCCGUUUCCAGUGAAGUCAGGAGCUUGUGGUACGGUGGUUAGAAACGCCGAGAUGAAAAUCAUCGAUCCAGACACCGGAGACUCACUUUCCAAAAACAAACCUGGAGAGAUUUGCAUCCGUGGUCACCAGAUCAUGAAAGGUUACCUCAACAACCCGGCGGCUACAGCAGAGACCAUUGACAAAGACGGCUGGCUUCACACCGGAGAUAUCGGGUUGAUCGAUGACGACGACGAGCUUUUCAUUGUCGAUCGUUUGAAAGAGCUUAUCAAGUACAAAGGUUUUCAAGUGGCUCCGGCUGAGCUAGAGGCUCUCCUCAUCGGUCAUCAGGAUAUCACCGACGUGGCCGUUGUCGCGUAAGUACAAAAAAAAAACUUAACCCUAUCUUCUGUAGUUGUCGCGUGAGCGACACGUUUAGCAUGUUUUGAUUCUUAGUGGUUGGUUAAAGUGAUGACACACUUCAACAACAAAACAAAACGCUAACCCCAAAGAUUUAAAAACGUUGAAGCUUUUUUUGUCCUUAGUCAAAAACGUGGCAGUAAAGCGUUCAUUCAAUUAUAUGAAACGAACAUGGUUUUGGUUUGUUGCGCCUAGGGUUAACGACAAUGUCCUUUUUUGUCACCUUCUUACACUUGCUUUCUUUUGUUUUGUUCUGUGUAAAUUGAACAGAAUGAAGGAAGAGGCUGCUGGUGAAGUUCCCGUUGCGUUUGUUGUGAAAUCCAAGGAUUCAGAGUUAUCGGAAGAUGAUGUGAAACAAUUCGUGGCGAAACAGGUAAAAUGAAUUUUCGGUUUUUUUUUUUAUUUUUGAUCAUUCCAUGAAUUUUCAGUUCUUGAUUUUGAUUAUUGCAUGAGAAAAUAUUGAAUCACUUGGUUGAUGCAAAAUAUUUGUGUUUGUCUGUGAAUAACACAGGUUGUGUUUUACAAGAGAAUCAACAAAGUGUUCUUCGUUGAGUCCAUUCCUAAAGCUCCAUCAGGGAAGAUAUUGAGGAAAGACCUGAGGGCAAAACUAGCAAAUGGGUUGGUGAACUAAAGAAACGAAACGCAAAAGAUGUUCCAUUGUGUAUAUACAUACAACAACUGUUUGACGAACCCAACGAAGGAAGGAGAGGGACUCAUUCGAAUCAUACCAAUGUCUGUUUCUUUUUUGUUUGUUUGUUGUUGUUGUUGUCUUUGAUUCAUGUAAUGAACCUUUUGUAAUAAAAGGUGGUUUCUUUUUUUUGGGUUUCAUGUAACUUGUGCUGGAGAAGACCAGCAGACUUUUUUUCAUAAAAUAAAUUACUCGGAUUAUGCAAUUUUUCUUAACAUUCCAUGAAUGU